UUGAUAGAUAUUUGCGAUUACAAACCAUAAAAACGGAAUAUUUGGGCGGCAUUAAAAUUCCGAGUGCCAAAUAUUUAACUUUGCAGUGGAUAAAUUGAGAUUUAAUCACAACAUCCGUUCAACCGACAAUCGUUGAUAUUGACAAUCGAGGUGUUUCCAGUAAUAUUUUAAGAAAAUUGGAGGUCCAAAAAAAUUGCGAAGUCCAAAGAGACUGUUACGAAGAUGAAAACGACGGCUUAUUGGACGAGGCAAUAUCGAGCCCGGAGGAAAUCCUCGACUACCCUUAAAAUGUUCAUGGAGCUCACUGCAUCGUAUCAAGGGCGAGAAGGAAACGGCGCGAUGGAAGGGGAGGGCGAAUGAGAGGGGAAAAGCUCUGCUACACAGGCGUCAGG